AGGUAUGUUUUCUCAGAAUAGAACUCCCAUCACCAAAGUGCCAGUUAUCUCCAAGGGUCAUCGCUGAGCAAACAAAGGAACGCUUUAAACAUUCUUCCAUCAUUCAGAGGGUUUGAGACUCUGGCUGAACGUUCAACUGUGCAACUGCUGAUCACAGGCAAUCAGAACUACCAAAGGUUUAGGAAGAAGGGGAUGACAUGGUCAGACCUAUGUUUUGGAUACAUUCACUUGGCAGUUGUGUAGAGAAUGGAUUGGAGAAGGAAGAGAUUGGAGGGAGGAAGACCAGUUAGGAGAUUACUGCAAUAAUCAAGAAAAAUCACAUGAAAACAGCAUCUCCUUGGAAGUUGAAAGGAGAGCGGGGCACUGAGAAAUCUGCUGAAGUCCAAAAAGAACAGCAUCUGAACUGAGAAAGUAGGAAGGAGGCUGGAACUACCACUGAAGCCCAGCAGAAAUACAGAAUUGAGACCAGGAAAGGAACCUCAAACCCACAGAUCAUGCUCUUCCACUGGGUACCACUGGCCAUUCUUGAGAGAUUUCAAAGCUGAUGGUUGGAAAUUGAAAAUGUCAAAAGAUUGUUGUGAGAAAAAUAUGUUGGAAACAGAAAAAUACCAUAUUAAUAUCAUUUGUUAUUUGUUGUAAGAUGAAAAUAAUAAACAAUAACUACCAUGGUGCUAGCUGGCAUAUCCAUGAAUAAUGUUUGGAAAAACUGAUAAAGAUGAAUAAGCAAGACCAAAAAAUAUAUACUACAACAAAGUGGAAAGAGCUAAAGGCAUCAGAUACUACUGUUCUCAUUCCUAAAAACCACUGUUAUCUUCAUGGCAAUUUUCUUCUCUUAUAAGCAACUGAUAUGAUAUUAUUUUAGUGUGUUUAAUAAACGGCUUCUUUUCUCAAAAUCAGGAAAACAUGUUUUCUUCCUUAUCUCAUACUUUCAACCAUGUAUUCCAUGCUUCUGCCAAACUGUCCCUCAAACAAACCCCGUCCUUUCUCUCAGCCUUGGUGCAUGGUGUUCCCACUGCCUGGAAUGUUGUCCAUGCACCCCUCCCUUCUCCUCCUCUUCCACCUGAUGAAAUCCUAUUCAUCCAUUAAAGCCCAAAUCAAGUGAAACCUCCUCUAUGAGGGCUUCCUGGAGAGCAGCCAAUUCCCUUUCACCUGAGUUGGUCACCCUACAGAGAUCCACCUGUGGAUCUCAUAUAGGCCUUUAUCAGUACCUCCCUUAAACCUUUAUGCAUUGACCUAGAUUCAAGUAAUUUGGUGUCAUCCCCCACUAGGCUAUAAACUCCCUAAGCCUAGGUCUUAUCUGAACCUUGUAUCUCCUAUAGCCCUCCACAGAGUGGGG